GGCGGCCCGGGCUUCCGGGCCCUAGACCUCCGCGGGGGGGUGCCGGCCACCCGGCCGCCCAGCCACCCGGCCGGGCCCCGGCCACGACCGGCCGCCCGCCCGCGGCGUGGCCGGUGACCUAUUGCACAGAAACUCUGCCAACGGGCCCUUACUGUCGGGCUCGAGGGGAAAAAACCAAACAAACCAAAAAACGAUUUGAGGGCGGCCGACCUGUUGCCUCCCGUUGGCCAGAGCCGGGGAAGCCGCAAGGAAAAAUUCUGCAGCAGGGACUUAACUGGCCCCGAUCCACAAGGAACCAGUGUUCGUAGGUGGUGACCCACCUCUUCCGUGGCCUUGUCGAGAGACUGCAAUCCCUGCCCAGGGGCGGCCCCUGGGCCCAGUGCUGCCUGGGGAGCUGCUGGGCAAAGGGCCUAGCCCGGGAGGAGAGAAAGGACCUUCCAGGCAGAGGCACCGGGUGCUGGGGUAGCGGGUGGUCCCGUUCUGGCAUGGGGAAGGACGUGACCCUGUCACCUCAGCACUGCAUCUCCUAGCGACACUUUGAGGGCGUUCUGUGCUCCCCACCUGAUGAUUGGAAGAGCUGGCUCUGGGACUGGGAGAGAUGUGUCCUUGUCCUACAGAUACGAAGGAGUGGGGCUGAAUCUGUGCCCUGUCUUUGAGAAAACUUGGCUCUGUGGGGGAGGGGAGCUCAAGGCCCCCCAGGGGACCUAGGGGGAGAGAACGAGGUCCAGGGUAGGGAAUGUGGGGAACUGGCUCUUCUUGGGGUGGUGUGGGAGGCCACAGGGAAGACUGUCGGAGCUGAGAUGGACACAGGAGAGAGUCCUAGAAUGCCUCGCAGAGUAGAAGGCUUUACCCACAGAGCCUGGCCUCCCCUGCCCCCCCACCCCAGGCUGGACCAAGAGCUCCUUGGCAGCUGAGUGGCACGGGCCUCUCGGUUUGGGUGGCGGGUGGGGCUGGGGUGGUGGCGAGGCCCCUGGGCACAGGCUGGAACCAGGAGGGUGAAGGGAUAAACCUGGGAUGGGUCCCCAGGCUCGUCACCCCCAAGUCCGGGAUCCUGCCGGAGAACGUCCUCUGGAGGGGCUUGGAUUGGCCCUGAGGCCCCAGAUGUGCGGCUCCUUGGCCCACCAGGAUGGCCAGCCACGACCCCGAGGGGGCCGGGAAAGACCCCGGUCCCCCAGCCACUCUGUUCUCGGUUGCUCUCGGCCCCCAGGCUCCAAAUUCCUGGGACUGAAAACCCAAGCAGCCUGUCCAGCCCCAGGGACAGAGUGGCCCUGGGUCACCCUCCCGCCCUCCUUAGUCGCCGCUCUAGAGGACGGGUCCUGAGUGAAGAGCUCUGCCCGCCUCACCCCGGGGACCGAGGCCCGAUGAGGCCUCCAUGUGUGCCCUGCAGCUUCCCACAGACAGGGUGUGAUGGCUCUCACCUCGUGCCAAGGGUUCUGUGGUCCUGGGUCCCGGUGGCUCCUCCUGUACCCCAAUCCUCUCCACCCAGGACCACGUCUGGGAGCCUGCCGGCCUGCUGACUCCAUCCACAGAUGUCUGGGGACAGCGUGCGAGAGCCCCGCGGGGCCUCCCUAGGACGGAUCCACAGAUGUGCCCCUUGCAAGGCCCCGUCUCACCCUCGGGGUGACCCGCUCCCCGGCCGGGGCCUUGGGGCUCAGCUGGAGCUGCCUGGGGCCUGGGACACCUCUUCUCCACGGAGAGAGUGGGAAGCCUCAGGGCCCUGGCCCGAGACCCCUCCCCUGCGGGACACCCCAGCCCAUGCCAGCCUGCCCCGGGGGCCCAGGAAGUCUCGGCACGACUCCCGAGGGACUGGGCAGGGGCUGCACUUCUUUGGCCUGUGGUCCUGCCCUUGCCCUUCGGACAGGAUUGGCCUUGAGUAGGGUUUGGCCUUGAGUAGUUAUUGAGCUGCCCACCCUCGCCCCCGCCCGCACUGGGCCCUGGCUGCCUGACAGGCUCUCCACGCACUUUAUUUAUUUGCAGUCUGUGUUCCAGACAGCAGAGCUUCUGCAUAAUCCAAGACAUGGGCUGAAGAAGAUGACCGUCCCUUUCCUGUGUGUGAUUCACUGUCCUGGUCAGCACGGGCUGCUCAGAGAAACGCUCGCGUUCCUGCUGUUGUCAAAUCUUGUCCCUCUAAGUUAAAAAGAAACACCCCUCCCUGAGUUCAAUAAAAUCCAGUCAAAUUGGA